UCUCACGUUGAGCCACACGCACAAUACCUGCAGAUGAAAAGGUUUUGUUCGUUCGGCUCGCGUUACGC
rnacentral:pre_miRNA from 1 species